GACGAACGCUAGCGGCGUGCCUAAUACAUGCAAGUUGAGCGCUGAAGGUUGGUACUUGUACCGACUGGAUGAGCAGCGAACGGGUGAGUAACGCGUGGGGAAUCUGCCUUUGAGCGGGGGACAACAUUUGGAAACGAAUGCUAAUACCGCAUAAAAACUUUAAACACAAGUUUUAAGUUUGAAAGAUGAAAUUGCAUCACUCAAAGAUGAUCCCGCGUUGUAUUAGCUAGUUGGUGAGGUAAAGGCUCACCAAGGCGAUGAUACAUAGCCGACCUGAGAGGGUGAUCGGCCACAUUGGGACUGAGACACGGCCCAAACUCCUACGGGAGGCAGCAGUAGGGAAUCUUCGGCAAUGGACGAAAGUCUGACCGAGCAACGCCGCGUGAGUGAAGAAGGUUUUCGGAUCGUAAAACUCUGUUGGUAGAGAAGAACGUUGGUGAGAGUGGAAAGCUCAUCAAGUGACGGUAACUACCCAGAAAGGGACGGCUAACUACGUG
rnacentral:rRNA from 1 species